UCUUCCGUAGUAUAGUGGUCAGUAUGUGAGCUUGUCAUGAGACUUCGCUCGAGACCCGGGUUCAAUUCCCGGCGGGAGAG